GCAUAUCAAUAAGCGGAGGAAAAGAAACCAACAGGGAUUGCCCCAGUAACGGCGAGUGAAGCGGCAACAGCUCAAAUUUGAAAUCUGGCUCCCUUGGGUGCCCGAGUUGUAAUUUGCAGAGGGUGCUUUGGCGUUGGCAGCGGCCUAAGUUCCUUGGAACAGGGCGUCAUAGAGGGUGAGAACCCCGUACGUGGCCGCCCGCCUUCGCCGUGUAAAGCCCCUUCGACGAGUCGAGUUGUUUGGGAAUGCAGCUCUAAAUGGGAGGUAAAUUCCUUCUAAAGCUAAAUACUGGCCAGAGACCGAUAGCGCACAAGUAGAGUGAUCGAAAGAUGAAAAGCACUUUGGAAAGAGAGUCAAACAGCACGUGAAAUUGUUGAAAGGGAAGCGCUUGCAGCCAGACUUGCCCGCGGUCGUUCUUCUUCCGCGGGCAGGCCAGCAUCAGUCUGGGCGGUCGGAUAAAGGCUCCGGGAAUGUAGCUCUCUUCGGGGAGUGUUAUAGCCCGGGGCGCCAUGCGGCCAGCUCGGACUGAGGUCCGCGCAUCUGCUAGGAUGCUGGCGUAAUGGCUGUAAGCGGCCCGUCUUGAAACACGGACCAAGGAGUCUAACAUCUAUGCGAGUGUUUGGGUGUCAAGCCCGGGCGCGCAAUGAAAGUGAACGGAGGUGGGAACCCCUCGGGGCGCACCAUCGACCGAUCCUGAUGUCUUCGGAUGGAUUUGAGUAAGAGCAUAGCUGUUGGGACCCGAAAGAUGGUGAACUAUGCCUGAAUAGGGUGAAGCCAGAGGAAACUCUGGUGGAGGCUCGCAGCGGUUCUGACGUGCAAAUCGAUCGUCAAAUUUGGGCAUAGGGGCGAAAGACUAAUCGAACUAUCUAGUAGCUGGUUCCUGCCGAA
rnacentral:rRNA from 1 species